GCGGAAUCGCCGAUUCCACCGAUUUUACGAUUUGACACGACAGUUUUACGAUUUGGCUUCGUUUGUAGCACGUUACUGGGAUCGAACACGAGUGGCCGCCGGAAGACGUAAGAACGUCCGAUUUCACGUGCCGGCGCGCGAUUUUGACUACCAUGGCCCUGCUUGGGCUGGUCUGGCCUGCCCUGCACUCCCCUUGCCUGGUUGGCAUGGCCUACCCUGACCUGACCUCCCCUCCGCUGGCCGACCUUUACUAGUCGGGCCUGCAUGGCUUUUUCAAGCCUGGGUUGCCUGACCUGACUGUCUGGGCUGGCCUAGCCUGCCUUUGCUAGCCUUACCUGAACUACCCCACCUGGUCUAGUCUGCCUAGCUUGUCUAGCCUGGCCUGCUUGGCUAGGGUUGGCCUUGGCUAGUCUGCCUAGCG